rnacentral:rRNA from 1 species
AUUGAACGCUGGCGGCAUGCCUUACACAUGCAAGUCGAACGGCAGCGGGGGAGAAGCUUGCUUUUCCUGCCGGCGAGUGGCGAACGGGUGAGUAAUACAUCGGAACGUGCCCUGUAGUGGGGGAUAACUAGUCGAAAGAUUAGCUAAUACCGCAUACGACCUGAGGGUGAAAGUGGGGGACCGCAAGGCCUCAUGCUAUAGGAGCGGCCGAUGUCUGGUUAGCUAGUUGGUGGGGUAAAGGCCUACCAAGGCGACGAUCAGUAGCUGGUCUGAGAGGACGAUCAGCCACACUGGGACUGAGACACGGCCCAGACUCCUACGGGAGGCAGCAGUGGGGAAUUUUGGACAAUGGGCGAAAGCCUGAUCCAGCAAUGCCGCGUGUGUGAAGAAGGCCUUCGGGUUGUAAAGCACUUUUGUCCGGAAAGAAAUGGCUCUGGUUAGUACCUGGGGUCGAUGACGGUACCGGAAGAAUAAGGACCGGCUAACUACGUGCCAGCCGCCGCAGUAAUAC